CGAAUGGGGGAAACCCUGAUCCAGCCAUGCCGCGUGAGUGAAGAAGGCCCUAGGGUUGUAAAGCUCUUUCGCACGCGACGAUGAUGACGGUAGCGUGAGAAGAAGCCCCGGCUAACUUCGUGCCAGCAGCCGCGGUAAUACGAAGGGGGCAAGCGUUGUUCGGAUUUACUGGGGCGUAAAGGGCGCGUAGGCGGAUUCGUAAGUCAGAGGUGGAAGCCCUGGGCUCAACCCGGGAAUGGCCUUUGAGACUGCGAGUCUUGAGUGCGAGAGAGGGUGGCGGAAUACCCAGUGUAGAGGUGAAAUUCGUAGAUAUUGGGUAGAACACCGGUGGCGAAGGCGGCCACCUGGCUCGCAACUGACGCUGAGGCGCGAAAGCGUGGGGAGCAAACAGGAUUAGAUACCCUGGUAGUCCACGCCGUAAACGAUGUGUGCUAGCCGUUGGUGACCUUCUUGGUCGUCGGUGGCGCAGCUAACGCGAUAAGCACACCGCCUGGGGAGUACGGCCGCAAGGUUA
rnacentral:rRNA from 1 species